GAGAAACUAUAUUUAGCAUACGCACCCUAGUUAACUUAGAUAGUUGGAACAAAAUGAAGAAACUGAUCGAAUACCUACAUAAAACUGGUUUAUACAAAAGGAUAUAGGCAAUUAGCGUUAAGGUGUGAAUAGCGAACAGAGGAGGGCAGCAAUACGCCACAGAUGUGUCUAGUCUGCCGGAAACAAGAAGAAGAAGAAGAUUUCAGCCAGCAGCACAUAUGCAACUUGACUGCUUUUUCUGAGUUAAUUUUGGCGGACAAGUUGCUCGUGGUCUUCGUUUUUGGAAGUUGUAAGAGCAACUGUUGAAAAGAGGAGGGAGAUCAUCCUCAGGGCAAUUGGUUUCUACCUGAUGAAGUCCCAAACAUCCUCUUCAAAGAAAACCCGGAUCUGAUGCUACAGCUGUUCCGAGGGAGCUUGGACAAGUUAUCUUUACAGCAUCCGUGUUGAGGGAGGUGAUGCCACCACUCCUCCAGCUGAUGUUGGGAUAGUCACCAAGGGUGCUGAAGUUCUGCAUGACUUCGCCCCUACACGUGCACUCUUAAUAGGUGUAAUUAUGCACUGAACCUCAGUUAUCCUCAGAACCUUAAAGCCUUCUUUGAGGUACUUCACAAGUGAUUCUUUCAACUAGAUGCUAGCAAACUCUCAACCAAGGGACAGAUGCUCAAGAACAAACUCUAUGAAUGAGCCAUUGAUUUGGAUGCUGAGUGUUCUGUGGAAUAGAAUUCUAAGCAAUGCAUCAUCAAAAUUGUUGACAACUAAACAUUAUUUUGCAAACCUUUCUACACUUUGUGUACUGUAUUAUUUUUUUCACCAAUUGCACCAAAAUGAUAAAGUCCAUAAAAAAAUUAAGUUGAAAUUGAUUUGUGUGGGACCAGUUGACAAACAUUUGAAUUGUGUCAAUCUAAUUUGGAAAAAAAAAAUUGAAUGA